UACAGAGGUGGCAAGCGUUGUUCGGAAUUACUGGGCGUAAAGGGCGCGUAGGCGGCCAUCUAAGUCAGACGUGAAAUCCCCCGGCUCAACCUGGGAACUGCGUCCGAUACUGGACGGCUUGAGUUUGGGAGAGGGAUGUAGAAUUCCAGGUGUAGCGGUGAAAUGCGUAGAUAUCUGGAGGAAUACCGGUGGCGAAGGCGGCAUCCUGGACCAAUACUGACGCUGAGGCGCGAAAGCUAGGGGAGCAAACGGG
rnacentral:rRNA from 1 species